AAAAACGAUUAUACAUAUAUAGAUGAGCUGGUGAUAGAUUAUGUUUAUACUUUCGUUUUUAAUUUGGCUUUGGUUACAAUAUAAGUUUUUAUUAGAUUUAUACAUGCUAGAUUUUUAAGUAGUCGAUUUAUCUAAAUCAAUAUACUUUCUUUAGUUUAAAAUUAGAGCAAGUAAUUGUAUUAAGUUAGCAUUUUGUUAAGAUUUAAGAGAUAGAUUACGCAGUAUUUAUUAUUAUACAAUGAAUGAGAGUUUGAUAUAGUUAAUGUAAAUUAGAAGUGGGUAAAUUGGUGCCAGCAUCUGCGGUUAUACCAAUACUUUAAAUUUAUAUAGGUGUAGUAUAAAAUAAAGUAAUAAUAUUAAGGUUAGGAUCAAUAAGGAUAAUAAUUGUAAGUAAAAUUUAAUUGUUAUAAUUGAUUAUAUGAUCCUAAUAGUUAGAAUCUUUGAAAAUAAGAAGAAAAACUAGGAUUAGAGACCCUACUAUUCUUUAUUUUAAAAAUUUAUUUACUUGAGGAGUAAGAGUGAAUAGAAUAUAAAUUAUCUAUACUUGAAACUUAAAAGGCUUGGCGGUGUUAUAUAUCCUUCCAGGGGAGCUUGCUUAUUAAUUUGAUAAUCCUCAAUUUAUACUUACUUUUUUUAGAUAAACAGUUUGUGUAUUGCUGUCGUCAGUUUAUUUUGUAAAAAGAUUAGAAAAAACUUCAUAAUGAUUAGAUUAUGAUGUCAAGUCAAAAUGCAGCUUAUGAAAAAGGUUUAUAAAGUGAGCUACGAUUUAUAAUAUUUAAACUAAUUAAAUUAUGUAAUUGAUUUAUGAAGUUGGACUUGGUAGUAACAAGGUAUUUAAAUAGUGAGUCUUUGUGAAUUAGGUUUUGUGACGCGUACAUAUCGCCCGUCGCUCUUGUUGGAAGAUAAGAUAAGUCGUAACAUAGUAGGGGUAGUGGAAGCUGUUCCUGGGCGGAUAUG
rnacentral:ncRNA from 1 species